rnacentral:lncRNA from 10 species
CAAGUAUCUUAUUGCUACAGCUAGACUCCAAAAAGAUGUACUUUGAGUUAGAAUCUAGACCCCAGAUUCCAGGACCACUUAAACAGCCUGCUCCUUUUCACCUGCUGGUGGCAGAUGUGGCCUUGGUGUUUAGAAAUUAGUUGCGCAUCCACUGAAGAGACAAGCAGAAAGUACUACCCUCUGGGAGAGUGUUAUAGCCUCUCUGGAAACUGAGAUGAACAUGUGGGGUGGGGGGCAGAAAAUGCCCAACCUAGUUCUUUAGAUACUUAAAAGCUAAGAAUAACAACCCCAAGAGAGGGUCUGAAUUCAGCUGUAGACAGCAACUUUUGGUUGUCCUGUUUCUUAAUACACAGGGAAGAAAAAGUCCCAUUCAGUGAGCAUUUAUCCAUUCAGUUCUUUACAUAUUCAAGCAUUCAACACAUAGUUACUGUGGGCCAGGUCCUGCCGUGGGCACAGGGAUACAACAGUGAACAAAGCCCCUGCCCAUAUAGAAUGCACUUACAAGGUGCCAAGCGUUUGGCCAAAUGGUAGGUUCAGAAAUAAGUGGGAUCCGUCCUGUUUUCAGUAGAGGAGAACACAAGAGAAAGACAUAUUUGAUCCAACCCAGGAGUUUAAAGAAAGCUUCCUGAAGACCUCUGAAGCUGCAUCUUGAGAGUUAAGAUUUCAACUAGUUAAGAAAGUGUGGGGAAGGGUAUCCUAGGCUGUGGGAACAUCAUGGAGUUAUGACCACAUGUGGGGUGUGGACACGUAUAAACACUUCAGCAUUGCCAGUUCACACUGUCCUGGGAGAAGCAGGAGGAGAGACUAGAGA